UUGAAAUACUAGUUGCUAUACAAACACCAAAGUUAAGCAAUGUCGAGCCUAGUCAGUACCCAGAUGGGUGACCACUUGGGAAUACCAGGUGCUGUGA